GAAGGGGGAGUCGAAGUGUUGUCACGCCUCGUUGUCAAACUGCUGUCAACAAGCGUGCAGGUUUAUACAGUUUCGCUCACAAAAAAUGAUACCAAAUUCCUUUAUUAGGAUAUGGAUGCACGUUAUUUUCCUUAAUUUAAGAGCCUUCCAUUUAAUCUCACCCAAAAUGUAGAAAUUAAAUGAAAUACUGUGUUGAAAUUUGAAUCUAAAAGCUAAACAUCGAUUCAUGGCGACUUUCAUACCUUUAUAACAAACACCUUGGCUUCGUUGUCUUGUUGUGUGUGUGUCAAUGUUUAUGUUUAUCUCCUUAGCAAAUUGCACAAAUUGGCAAACGCUGAAAACUGUGCUGAUUUUGUGGCCUAAAUGACGGUAUAAGGAUCCAUCAUGCGACGACGAGAAAUUCCCGCAUUUACUUUGAAGCUUAGCGACUUGAAGGAGUACGAGCAAGCAAAGCAGGAGAAAAUGGACAAGAAAGCCUGCCAGAACGAUAAGCAACCGAAAUCGACUACUAUUCAGCAGCCUCGCAAAUUGUCCUCUAAUGUAAAUACGUUUAAUUAAUAAACAAUCUUCGCUAUGUCUUCAGCGUAGAAUGUUUUAAUUUGA